rnacentral:rRNA from 1 species
AUUUUCGUCAAUGGGGGCAACCCUGACCGAGCGACGCCGCGUGAGUGAAGAAGGUCUUCGGGUAGUACAGUUCUGUCCUGGGGGACGAUAAUGACGGUACCCCAGGAGGAAGCCCCGGCUAACUACGUGCCAGCAGCCGCGGUAAUACGUAGGGGGCGAGCGUUGUCCGGAAUUAUUGGGCGUAAAGGGUUCGUAGGCGGUUUUUUAAGUCAGAUGUGAAAGGUCACGGCUCAACCGUGGUAAGCAUUUGAAACUGAAAGACUUGAGUUAAGGAGAGGAAAGUGGAAUUCCUAGUGUAGCGGUGAAAUGCGUAGAUAUUAGGAGGAAUACCAGUGGCGAAGGCGACUUUCUGGACUUAUACUGACGCUGAGGAACGAAAGCGUGGGGAGCAAAC